rnacentral:tRNA from 1 species
GAACGCAUAGCUCAGUGGUAGAGUGCUCACUUAGCACACACGAGGUCCUGGGUUCAAUCCCCAGUGCCUCCA